AACGAACGCUGGCGGCAUGCCUAACACAUGCAAGUCGAACGAGACCUUCGGGUCUAGUGGCGCACGGGUGCGUAACGCGUGGGAACCUGCCUUUAGGUUCGGAAUAACUCAGAGAAAUUUGAGCUAAUACCGGAUGAUGUCUUCGGACCAAAGAUUUAUCGCCUUUAGAUGGGCCCGCGUUGGAUUAGCUAGUUGGUGGGGUAAAGGCCUACCAAGGCGACGAUCCAUAGCUGGUCUGAGAGGAUGAUCAGCCACACUGGGACUGAGACACGGCCCAGACUCCUACGGGAGGCAGCAGUGGGGAAUAUUGGACAGUGGGCGAAAGCCUGAUCCAGCAAGGCCGCGUGAGUGAUGAAGGCCUUAGGGUUGUAAAGCUCUUUUACCCGAGAUGAUAAUGACAGUAUCGGGAGAAUAAGCUCCGGCUAACUCCGUG
rnacentral:rRNA from 1 species